CUUUACUGUAUCUUGAAAUUGGCUUUUGAUUUUUAUUGCGCAGAAUAGGUGGGAGAUUUUGAAGCUUUUCUUGUGGGAAAAGUGGAAUCACAAGUGAGAUACCACUCUAUAAAUCUUGAAAGUCUAACCUUAAGCCGUAAGCCGGCUAAGGGACAGUUUCUGGUGGGCAGCUUGACUGGGGCGAUCACCUCCUAAAAAGUAACAGAGGUGUACAAAGGUUUCCUCAGAUCGGUUAGAAAUCGAUCGAUGAGUGUAAUGGCAAAAGGAAGCUUAACUGUGAGACAAACUAGUCGAGCAGAAACGAAAGUUGGUCAUAGUGAUCUGACGCUGCUGUGUGGAAAGGGCGUCACUCAACGGAUAAAAGUUA
rnacentral:rRNA from 1 species